rnacentral:lncRNA from 1 species
CGUCCCUUUACCGGGCCAUAGGAGGAAAAUUGCUACCAAAUGCUGCCAAUGUGACGUCACUGGGAUGGUCGAAAGCUGAUUGGUCGCUGAGAUUCAGGCGAUGCUGUCAAUUCUGGCGCACCGGCGCAGUGUUUUCCAGCCGUUGCGUGUAUUGUUAUACGGAGUUUGAAUAUUGUUUAUUUGAUAAUAAUAUCACUUUAUAUGUGUUUGAAGAUCGGAAAAGCAUGCACAUAAGUGGCAUUCACACACUUGUCGUCUCAGAGAUCAUGAAGAAUGACCAGCUUCAGCAGUUCAGCUCAGGUCCUGGGCUGGUCCUCUGGCGUGCAGGACGGCGAGGAGUGGCUACCUGCACAUAACAACACAAUGACUGGCAUCGAGCUGAGGGUAUAAAAUCACAUCAUAUCGACUUCAGCAUCUGUCUCCCAGCUUUGGAGACGUCGCCCGACUCCCGAGUCCCUGAGUGGCGAGCGCCAGUUUCCGAAAGGAAUUUGAGGAAGGCGACCCGAAAGCACCCGCUGGGCUGCCGACACUCCUGCGCUGCCAGCAGGGCGUGCUGCGCAGUGAAGCCUCGCUGCGUGGUCUGUACGACAUCCGACACCGGCACCCAGACGUGCAGUUUCUGAUGACAUCCCACCUCAACCAGGGCUGCCCCGAGAAUCUGCUAGUGCUGACUGCCUGCUGCUGAGGCCGACCUGCCGGACCUGUCGCCGCCCUGGUGAGCCUGAGCCGCCCUGGGACCUGCCGCCGCGUCUACGCUGCCGCCCUGGUGAAACUGCCGUCGCCCUGCCGAACCUGUCGCCGCCCUGGUGAGCCUGCGACCGCCCUGGGACCUGCUGCCACCCCGGCGGACCUGCCGCCGCGUCUACGCUUCCGCCCUGGUGAAACUGCCGUCGCCCUGCCGGACCUGUCGCCGCCCUGGUGAGCCUGCGGCCGCCCUGGAUCUGCUGCCACCCCGGCGGACCUGCCGCCGCGUCUACGCUUCCGCCCUGGUGAAACUGCCGUCGCCCUGCCGGACCUGUCGCCGCCCUGGUGAGCCUGCGGCCGCCCUGGACCUGCUGCCACCCCGGCGGACCUGCCGCCACGUCUACGCUUCCGCCCUGGUGAAACUGCCGUCGCCCUGCCGGACCUGUCGCCGCCCUGGUGAGCCUGCGACCGCCCUGGGACCUGCUGCCACCCCAGCGGGCCUGCCGCCGCGUCUACGCUGCCGCCCUGGUGAAACAGGUCCGUCGUCGCCCUGCCGGACCUGUCGCCGCCCUGGUAAACCUGCUGCCGACCUGUCGCACUUGCCACCGCCCUGGUGAAUCUGCUGCCGACUGCCUGACCUGUCGCUGCCGUGGUGAACCUGUUACCGACUUGCCGGACCUUUCUCGCCGCCUUGACGAGCUUGGGGAGCCUGUGCUGAGGUGCCACCGCUCUGUUUCACGUGUUAUGUUGCCCGGUUCCUGGCUGUCGCGGAGUCAAUCGGCACAUUGUGUUUGGAGAGGCGACAUCUUGUACAACUUUCCGACAGUUCGGAGCAUUUUAUUGUACCUACUCAAGUCGCAAGAGAUUAGGCUUGUGCCUUAUUUGUCCUCUACCAAUCUGUCCAAUAUGGUUUUUUAUAACUACGAUUUAUGGUAUGACAUAAACCGGUAUAUUGUGUA